UCGCAGUGAUGACUACUUAGGACACCUUUGGAUUCAUGAUGAAAACAAUCGUUAAAUUCUGAGCAAC